rnacentral:lncRNA from 1 species
GCGGUCCUGCAGCCUCGGUUUGGGGCGUUCACAUGUCGGAAUCUCCCCGUGGAGUCCCUGCGAUGCCGCAAGAGGAGGGGAAGGUCAGGGAUGGCCAGGUCAUCGCAGGAGAUGGCGGUGGUUCGAUUUAUACCCGAGCUCGGAGAGGUGUGGUUCCAGCAUAGAGAUGACAGCGUUAGAGGGCACGGGCUGUGCUGUGGUGGCGUGGGUGGCAAAAAGGAGGGGCAAUGGGUGUUUCAGGGCUUUUUAUAGAGGAAGAGGAGCACGGGGGAGGGGGAAUUAGGCUGGGGGAGAUCACGGCCAUGGCCGGUCAUUUGAACUGCAAUAACUUGCCAUAAAGCGAGCGUGAGGAGGGGGACAGGGACGGGGGAGAGAGGGAAGGCAGUGGUGAUCUCGGGAGUGGGGCUAGGUAGACGCGGCUCGGUGCGAGGGCGUGUGGAUUUGGACAGGAGGAUGGCCACGUUCAUGCGGCGUGGUAGGGGAAAGAAAGGAAGGAAGGGAGGUUAGGGGUGACAGGCGGGGCCUACCUGGUGGUGAGAGGGAGGGGAGAUAGGUGUCAGGCCACUGGUGGGCUUGGCCCGCGAAGGAGAAGGUGAGGGGGAAGCUGGGUUGGCAUUUGAAAUGGAUUUCGGCCCAACUCCGGAUUGCUCAUUUCCAGCAUUUAAAUGUUCCAUAGAUGAAACCUAUUCGGAUUUUAUAAUACAAAUUCAUUUUUCAAACACGAAACCUAUGCAAAGCAGCAUGAAUGCAAACAAAUAAAUUUGUCUCCUAUGGUUCAUUUAAAUUUAUUCUAGAAAAUAUUAUUUGCAUGCAGCUAAUUGUGAAUUAAAGCAAAA